UGGGGAAUAUUGCGCAAUGGGGGAAACCCUGACGCAGCAACGCCGCGUGAAGGAUGAAGGCUUUCGGGUUGUAAACUUCUUUAGCCAGGGACGAAGAAUGACGGUACCUGGAAAAUAAGCCACGGCUAACUACGUGCCAGCAGCCGCGGUAAUACGUAGGUGGCAAGCGUUGUCCGGAUUUACUGGGUGUAAAGGGCGUGUAGGCGGGUACUUAAGUCAGAUGUGAAAUUCUUGGGCUCAACCCAAGCGCUGCAUCUGAAACUGAGGAUCUUGAGUACUGGAGAGGGAAGCGGAAUUCCUAGUGUAGCGGUGAAAUGCGUAGAUAUUAGGAGGAACACCAGUGGCGAAGGCGGCUUUCUGGACAGUAACUGACGCUGAGGCGCGAAAGCGUGGGGAGCAAACAGG
rnacentral:rRNA from 1 species